rnacentral:rRNA from 1 species
GAUGAACGCUAGCGGCAGGCCUAACACAUGCAAGUCGAGGGGUAACUAGAGUGAUAGCAAUAUUACUUUGGCUAGACCGGCGCACGGGUGCGUAACACGUAUGCAACCUACCUUAUACUGGGGAAUAACUUCGAGAAAUCGGCGCUAAUACCCCAUAACACUGCGGAGAGGCAUCUCUUUGCAGUUAAAGCUCCGGCGGUAUAAGAUGGGCAUGCGUCAAUUAGCUAGUUGGUGAGGUAACGGCUCACCAAGGCUACGAUUGGUAGGGGUUCUGAGAGGAUGAUCCCCCACACUGGUACUGAGACACGGACCAGACUCCUACGGGAGGCAGCAGUGAGGAAUAUUGCGCAAUGGACGAAAGUCUGACGCAGCCAUGCCGCGUGCAGGAUGACGGCCCUAUGGGUUGUAAACUGCUUUUGUACGGGAAUAAACCCUUCUACGUGUAGGAGGCUGAAGGUACCGUAAGAAUAAGCACCGGCUAACUCCGUGCCAGCCGCCGCCGUAA